rnacentral:rRNA from 1 species
UACGGAGGGUGCAAACGUUGCUCGGAAUCAUUGGGCGUAAAGCGCACGUAGGCGGCCGAAUAAGUCGGGUGUGAAAGCCCUGGGCUCAACCCAGGAAGUGCACUCGAAACUGCUCGGCUUGAAUAUGGAAGAGGGUUGCGGAAUUCCCGGUGUAGAGGUGAAAUUCGUAGAUAUCGGGAGGAACACCAGUGGCGAAGGCGGCAACCUGGGCCAAUAUUGACGCUGAGGUGCGAAAGCGUGGGGAGCAAACAGG